rnacentral:rRNA from 1 species
CGAAGGGGCUAGCGUUGUUCGGAAUUACUGGGCGUAAAGCGCACGUAGGCGGAUACUUAAGUUAGGGGUCGAAAUCCCAAGGCGUCAACCUUGGAACUGCCUUUAAUACUGGGUAUCUCGAGUCCGGAAGAGGUGAGUGGAAUUCCGAGUGUAGAGGUGAAAUUCGUAGAUAUUCGGAGGAACACCAGUGGCGAAGGCGGCUCACUGGUCCGGUACUGACGCUGAGGUGCGAAAGCGUGGGGAGCGAAACAGGAUUAGAUACCCUGGUAGUCCACGCCGUAAAACGAUGGAAGCCAGCUGUCGGCAAGUUUACUUGUCGGUGGCGCAGCUAACGCAUUAAGCUCCCGCCUGGGGAGUACGGUCGCAAGAUUA